AAGUCAGAGGUGAAAUCCCAGAGCUCAACUGUGGAACUGCCUUUGAUACUGGUUGACUUGAGUCAUUGGGAAGUGGAUAGAAUGUGUAGUGUAGCGGUGAAAUGCAUAGAUAUUACACAGAAUACCGAUUGCGAAGGCAGAUUACUAACAAUGUACUGACGCUCAUGGACGAAAGCGUGGGGAGCGAACAGGAUUAGAUACCCUGGUAGUCCACGCCGUAAACGAUGGAUACUAGCUGUUGGGAAUUAGCUCUGAGGGUAAGCGAAAAAGAGUUAAGACUCCCACCUGGGGAGUACGGGCGCACGAUUGAAACUCAAA
rnacentral:rRNA from 1 species